CCAAGUCCUAAACUCAUUCACAAAUUAGAAUACAUAGGUCCAGCCCAGGCACAGUGGCUGAAGCCUGGAAUCCUCCCGCUUCCUGCUUCGGGAGACCAAGACAAGACGAUCUCUCGAAGUGGCACGGAGAAGCUCUCGCUCAUCGCUGCCUCCUACCACUCUGAACAUGCUCCAGUUUCGUUGACCACGCUGCAGUCUUGGUGGCCACCACCAACUGCAGUGAGCCUGGCCGGGUGCUGCAAGUUGCAGCCUCCACCUCCUCCUCCACCUAAGUCGGGCGUGGAGCAGCAGCGGGAGCAGUCGCAGAAGAGGCUGGAAUGGCGGAAUGCACCCUCAGUAUGCAUUAUAUAUAGAGGUUUCGGCAAUGAGGGCCUGGACUUUGUGUUCUGACUGGAUGGGGGAAAACCUCUAGGCUUUAUCUUCAUGUCCUGAUUGGUUAUCCUAAGAGUUGCUCUCAUCCAAUCUUCUUUAUAAGUGGUCAUCUCUGUAAGUUCAUGCCCAUUGGGAGUUAGUGAGGUUGUGAAUGAUUACAUUUAAACUUAUCCUGU
rnacentral:lncRNA from 1 species